rnacentral:rRNA from 1 species
CCCAUGUAGAACACGUGGUUGAUAGGCUGGAUGUGGAAGCCCUGUAAGGGGUGGAGCUGACCAGUACUAAUGGGCGAUUGUGA